CUCAACAAUGGGACCCCACGGAACUUAAAAGCUCUGUGCAGCCAAGGGCACCAUUGUUUGAGUGAAGAAACAGCUUACAGAAGGGGAAAAAAUCUUUGCCAUCUACAUCUGAAGGAGGUAUAUGUUCAGACAACACAGCAAAUUGCAUCAUGACUUCAUGUGUCCCUUCAAGGCACUUGGUGACUCUCAGAGAGAGGCUGCUUCUUCAGUCUCUUAACUGGAGACACAGAAAAACAUGGAAUGGCUGCUCACCUGGAUGGAGGAAGAACUCCCAGCAGGAAAGUCACCUGGAUAACAUCAGCUGAGGCCUCAUUAGAACCAGUGAUCAUGACCCCCUGUACAGGAGGGUCCGAGGAGAGACAGGAAGAGCCCAAGCCAGCACACUCGGGUCAUAGAGGGAAGAAGUCUGCAUUUUACUGGAUCUCUUUGCUGCCUUUCUUUUCUUCCUGAAUCCAGAGACAGGAACCCCGAGAGGUUGUGGCAAGAAUGGCAUCUUCAGUCCUCCUCAAGCCAGCUCAUGACAACAUCAAUAUCAAUAUUUUUCAGAGGACACACAGAUGAAAUGUUUCCUUUGAAAUUAAAUAUUUUCUUCCUGGGACAAUUUCCCUUUGGGUAUUGGGAGAGCUCAGUUUGCAGUCCGUCAUCCAGGGAAGCCUGGGCAGGAACUCAAGGCAGGAACCUGGAGGCAGGAGCUAAAGCAGCGAAUGUGGAGGAAGACCUUGUAUGGUGCUGGUUGUUGGUGGCACACGCCUUUAAUCCCAGCACUCGGGAGGCAGAGGCAGGUGGAUCUCUGUGAGUUCGAGGCCAGCCUGGUCUACAGAGCGAGUUCCAGGACAGGCUCCAAAGCAAUACAGAGAAACCCUGUCUCGAAAAAAAGGAAAAAAAAAAAAAAAAAGACUCGGUAUAGUUUGUUUCACUGCUCAUGUUUAGCUACCUCUUCUCUACAGCUUAGGCCCACCUGCCUCUGGAUUGCGCCACUCUCAGUGGGCUGAGCCCUCCUACAACAACUAGCGAUCAAGAACAUGCCCCACAGACAUGCCCACAGUCUAAUCAGACAGAGGCAAAUCCCCAGUGGAGGUUCCCUCUUCCCAGCAUUCCUUCAAAGGACCAUGAAUGAAAGGCUUGGUCACCAGCUUUUGGUGCCACCGGGAGUGACUGGAACCUUUAGGAGGUGGGAUCUAAUGGAGAGGCUGAACUGAACUGGAACCCAGAUGCAGAGAAGGACGAGUGAAGAGCACAGGGGUCCAGACCAGGCUAGUGAAACCCACAGAAACAGCUGACCUGAAUAUCCGGAAACUCUUGCUCCCCAGACUGAUAGCUGGAAUACCAGCAUGGGACUGAUCCAGACCCCAGGAACAUGGAUUUCUGCAUGGUCACCUUCCCUUGAAGUGAGGUGAUGGGUACCAGGAGGCCAAUAAGUUGAUGGAACAAUAAUGAUACCGCUUCUUGUUGUCAUCACUGUAAACUCCGUGAUAAGGGCCCAGAGGAACACGACCCUUGGAAUCUCUGAUGCUGGAAGCCUGGACACUUCCUCUGGCUUUGGCUGGGCUGUCUGCCAGGGUCAGAAAGCAUGCAGCUUCAGCCAGUUCUUGAGGCACGGACUCUGUGAUCUGUUUUCUGACUUACCUUCAUGCAGUAGAAUUAGAAUGCAGUUGCCUCAACCUUUUUGCCCUCCAAAUCCUUAGUCCCUGGCCAAGGAUCACUCACUUGAAC
rnacentral:lncRNA from 1 species